CCCUCCUACAAAGGUGUGUCUGUGGUUCCCUGUCUAUGGACACAUAAGAAUCGGAGGCAAAGAAAUGUGGAAUUGGAGAAGUCUGGAGCCAGCUUGCUCCCUGCAGGCUCAAGAUCAACCAUCCCAUAUAG